rnacentral:rRNA from 1 species
CAACUUUCAACAACGGAUCUCUUGGCUCUCGCAUCGAUGAAGAACGCAGCAA